rnacentral:rRNA from 1 species
CAGUAGCCGCGGGAAUACGAAGGGGGCUAGCGCUGCUCGGAAUGACUGGGCGUAAAGGGCGCGUAGGCGGCGAUCAAAGUCAGGCGUGAAAUUCCUGGGCUCAACCUGGGGGCUGCGCUUGAUACUUGGUUGCUUGAGUGGGGAAGAGGGUCGUGGAAUUCCCAGUGUAGAGGUGAAAUUCGUAGAUAUUGGGAAGAACACCGGUGGCGAAGGCGGCGACCUGGUCCUUGACUGACGCUGAGGCGCGAAAGCGUGGGGAGCAAACAGGAUUAGAUACCCGAGUAGUCCCUGUCUCUUAUAU